rnacentral:rRNA from 1 species
GACGAACGCUGGCGGCGUGCUUAACACAUGCAAGUCGAACGGUGAAGCGCCUUCCUUUUUGGUGGGUGUGGAUGAGUGGCGAACGGGUGAGUAACACGUGAGUAACCUGCCCCCUUCUUCUGGAUAACCGCAUGAAAGUGUGGCUAAUACGGGAUAUUCUGGGUCUGUCGCAUGAUGGGUCUGGGAAAGAUAUUGUUUCGGUGGGGGAUGGGCUCGCGGCCUAUCAGCUUGUUGGUGGGGUGAUGGCCUACCAAGGCGGUGACGGGUAGCCGGCCUGAGAGGGUGGACGGUCACACUGGGACUGAGACACGGCCCAGACUCCUACGGGAGGCAGCAGUGGGGAAUAUUGCACAAUGGGCGCAAGCCUGAUGCAGCGACGCCGCGUGAGGGAUGGAGGCCUUCGGGUUGUGAACCUCUUUCGCCAGUGAAGCAGGCCUGCCUCGUUUGUGGGUGGGUUGACGGUAGCUGGAUAAGAAGCGCCGGCUAACCACGUG